rnacentral:tRNA from 1 species
GCCUGGGUGGCUCAGUCGGUUGAGUGUCCGGCUUCAGCUCAGGUCAUGAUCUCACAGUUUGUGGGUUCGAGCCCCGCAUCGGGCU